rnacentral:rRNA from 1 species
CCUACGGGAGGCAGCAGUGAGGAAUAUUGGACAAUGGGCGCAAGCCUGAUCCAGCCAUGCCGCGUGCAGGAUGACGGUCCUAUGGAUUGUAAACUGCUUUUGCACAGGAAGAAACAACAUUACGUGUAAUGUCUUGACGGUACUGUGAGAAUAAGGAUCGGCUAACUCCGUGCCAGCAGCCGCGGUAAUACGGAGGAUCCAGGCGUUAUCCGGAAUCAUUGGGUUUAAAGGGUCCGUAGGCGGUUUAGUAAGUCAGUGGUGAAAGCCCAUCGCUCAACGGUGGAACGGCCAUUGAUACUGCUAGACUUGAAUUAUUAGGAAGUAACUAGAAUAUGUAGUGUAGCGGUGAAAUGCUUAGAGAUUACAUGGAAUACCAAUUGCGAAGGCAGGUUACUACUAAUUGAUUGACGCUGAUGGACGAAAGCGUGGGUAGCGAACAGGAUUAGAUACCCUGGUAGUCCACGCCGUAAACGAUGGAUACUAGCUGUUGGGAGCGAUCUCAGUGGCUAAGCGAAAGUGAUAAGUAUCCCACCUGGGGAGUACGUUCGCAAGAAUGAAACUCAAAGGAAUUGACGGCNGAGACGAGCGACGGACGACGACGAGGGAGGAGG